rnacentral:tRNA from 1 species
UAUAUUUUGGUGUAUGAGGCACAAAAGUUUUUGAUACUUUUAGAAAUAGUUUAAUUCUAUUAAAUAUAA